ACCCCAGCAUUCAUUCCCUAUUGAGUAGACUGACAAGAGGGACUGUUCUGCGGUUCUCAGUAGUAACCAUUCCUUUCAUGCCCUACUGAGUAGAUUGGCUGGAGAAAAUCUCUUGUGGUUCUCAAUACAAACCAUCCCAGCAUUACUGGAGCUUGUCAGCGUUCUAUGUGUGCUAUGAAGCAUCGCAUUGUAGCUGCUGACUUCGAUAUACCACCAAUAAAAGGUCCAGAAUGAUUCUACAGAUGAGAGCAUACUGUCACCCCUUUCGAGCGACAGUGUUCUCGAGGAUCUUGUCAGGCAGCUUGACGCUCCAGAGGAUGGUGGUUGGAUAAAUCCAAACUCAUGUGAAUGCGAUAGUUUUCACUCUUUGAUGUACCUUUUCCGAGUAUCCGUUUGCACAAGCCUCGAGUUGUUACGGACUGCUGUGUGGCUCGCUAUGAAUGUUUGAAAAG